AUUGAACGCUGGCGGCAUGCCUUACACAUGCAAGUCGAACGGCAGCGCGGGGCAACCUGGCGGCGAGUGGCGAACGGGUGAGUAAUAUAUCGGAACGUACCCUGGAGUGGGGGAUAACGUAGCGAAAGUUACGCUAAUACCGCAUACGAUCUAAGGAUGAAAGUGGGGGAUUCGCAAGAACCUCAUGCUCCUGGAGCGGCCGAUAUCUGAUUAGCUAGUUGGUGGGGUAAAGGCCUACCAAGGCAUCGAUCAGUAGCUGGUCUGAGAGGACGACCAGCCACACUGGAACUGAGACACGGUCCAGACUCCUACGGGAGGCAGCAGUGGGGAAUUUUGGACAAUGGGCGAAAGCCUGAUCCAGCAAUGCCGCGUGAGUGAAGAAGGCCUUCGGGUUGUAAAGCUCUUUUGUCAGGGAAGAAACGGUGAGGGCUAAUAUCCUUUGCUAAUGACGGUACCUGAAGAAUAAGCACCGGCUAACUACGUGCCAGCAGCCGCGGUAAUACGUAGGGUGCAAGCGUUAAUCGGAAUUACUGGGCGUAAAGCGUGCGCAGGCGGUUUUGUAAGUCUGUCGUGAAAUCCCCGGGCUCAACCUGGGAGUUGCGAUGGAGACUGCAAGGCUAGAAUCUGGCAGAGGGGGGUAGAAUUCCACGUGUAGCAGUGAAAUGCGUAGAGAUGUGGAGGAACACCGAUGGCGAAGGCAGCCCCCUGGGUCAAGAUUGACGCUCAUGCACGAAAGCGUGGGGAGCAAACAGGAUUAGAUACCCUGGUAGUCCACGCCCUAAACGAUGUCUACUAGUUGUCGGGUUUUAAUUAACUUGGUAACGCAGCUAACGCGUGAAGUAGACCGCCUGGGGAGUACGGUCGCAAGAUUAAAACUCAAAGGAAUUGACGGGGACCCGCACAAGCGGUGGAUGAUGUGGAUUAAUUCGAUGCAACGCGAAAAACCUUACCUACCCUUGACAUGUACGGAAGUCCGGAGAGAUCUGGAUGUGCUCGAAAGAGAGCCGUAACACAGGUGCUGCAUGGCUGUCGUCAGCUCGUGUCGUGAGAUGUUGGGUUAAGUCCCGCAACGAGCGCAACCCUUGUCAUUAGUUGCUACGAAAGGGCACUCUAAUGAGACUGCCGGUGACAAACCGGAGGAAGGUGGGGAUGACGUCAAGUCCUCAUGGCCCUUAUGGGUAGGGCUUCACACGUCAUACAAUGGUACAUACAGAGGGCCGCCAACCCGCGAGGGGGAGCUAAUCCCAGAAAGUGUAUCGUAGUCCGGAUUGUAGUCUGCAACUCGACUACAUGAAGUUGGAAUCGCUAGUAAUCGCGGAUCAGCAUGUCGCGGUGAAUACGUUCCCGGGUCU
rnacentral:rRNA from 1 species